UACAGAGGUCUCAAGCGUUGUUCGGAUUCAUUGGGCGUAAAGGGUGCGUAGGUGGCGCUGUAAGUCAGGUGUGAAAUUUCGGAGCUUAACUCCGAAACUGCAUUUGAUACUGCGGUGCUUGAGGACUGGAGAGGAGACUGGAAUUUACGGUGUAGCAGUGAAAUGCGUAGAGAUCGUAAGGAAGACCAGUGGCGAAGGCGGGUCUCUGGACAGUUCCUGACACUGAGGCACGAAAGCCGGGGGAGCAAACAGG
rnacentral:rRNA from 1 species